rnacentral:piRNA from 1 species
UAGACAUGAGGAUGGUUAUGAUCUUCAAUUU